GGUAAAAUAGCCAGGUAAGGUAAUAGACUGUAAAGCUAACUACAGAGAUAGAAACCUCUUUUUUACCA
rnacentral:tRNA from 1 species